UCUUUAUUCUAUGCAGUUACACUCACCGUUAUUUUUGUCAGGGCCAGCCGUUAAGUUCCUGACGCGUGUUCGUUCAUGAAUGCGGAGCACCAGACUGCCUUCCACAUCUACUUUGCUCACAGGGUGAAGACACCAAUCAUGUACCCUCUACAGGUGCCGAAAGGGGCAGAGGAAAACGCAGCCGCCCAAAGGGCCACCACGAAACUCCUGAACUCCAAGAACCCAGUAAGAAGACCUGCUGAAUUAAGGAGCUACAGCCCAGCAGCCUGUUCGAAACCAGGUUUAUCAAGGUCGAUACCUGUAAUGGACGUUACUCGGAAGCACU